GUGAGGGGAUGUGACUACAAAUGGAUCUGGGAAUCCAAGAUUCCUUUAAAAAUCCAAAUAUUCCUCUGGCAGCUCUUUCAAGAUGCUGUACUUACUAGAGAUGUGAUGAGCAGGAGAAAAUGGGCGGGCAACCCUGCAUGCUCGUUUUGCAGCAAAAGGGAAACCUCUCAACACCUUUUCUUCACAUGUCAUGUGGCUAGAAUUAUGUGAAGAACUGUUGGAUGUGUCCUGGGCAUGGAUCGUUGCCUGAAUAAUGUGUGGCAAUACUUUGCUUGGUGUUAUAUGUUCCUUUCAGAUGGGGAAAAAUUCUAUACGUUUGGCUUAGCAGCAAUGUGCUGGGCUAUGUGGAACUGUCGUAAUAAGGCGACAUUUGAGUCCAAACGGAUGAGGUCCCCUUUUGAUGUGGUUUAUUCGCAUGUGGAUAUUUGA
rnacentral:rRNA from 1 species